UACGUAGGGGGCAAGCGUUGUCCGGAUUUAUUGGGCGUAAAGAGCGUGUAGGCGGUUUGGUAGGUCCGUUGUGAAAACUCGAGGCUCAACCUCGAGACGCCGAUGGAAACCAUCAGACUAGAGUCCGGAAGAGGAGAGUGGAAUUUCCGGUGUAGCGGUGAAAUGCGUAGAUAUCGGAAGGAACACCAGUGGCGAAGGCGGCUACCUGGCAUGAUACUGACACUGAGGCGCGAGAGCGUGGGGAGCAAACAGG
rnacentral:rRNA from 1 species